rnacentral:rRNA from 1 species
UACGUAGGUGGCGAGCGUUGUCCGGAAUUAUUGGGCGUAAAGGGAGCGCAGGUGGGAAAGUAAGUCUGCUUUAAAAGUGCGGGGCUCAACCCCGUGAGGGAGUGGAAACUACUUUUCUUGAGUGCAGGAGAGGAAAGCGGAAUUCCUAGUGUAGCGGUGAAAUGCGUAGAUAUUAGGAGGAACACCAGUGGCGAAGGCGGCUUUCUGGACUGUAACUGACACUGAGGCUCGAAAGCCAGGGGAGCGAACGGG